rnacentral:rRNA from 1 species
UACGUAGGGUGCAAGCGUUAGUCGGAAUUACUGGGCGUAAAGCGUGCGCAGGCGGCUAUGCAAGACAGAUGUGAAAUCCCCGGGCUCAACCUGGGAACUGCAUUUGUGACUGCAUGGCUAGAGUACGGUAGAGGGGGAUGGAAUUCCGCGUGUAGCAGUGAAAUGCGUAGAUAUGCGGAGGAACACCGAUGGCGAAGGCAAUCCCCUGGACCUGUACUGACGCUCAUGCACGAAAGCGUGGGGAGCAAACAGG